rnacentral:rRNA from 1 species
AGAGUUUGAUCCUGGCUCAGAUUGAACGCUGGCGGUAUGCUUUACACAUGCAAGUCGAACGGAUUAAGAAGCUUGCUUCUUAGUUAGUGGCGAACGGGUGAGUAAUAUAUCGGAACAUAUCCGGAAGUGGGGGAUAACGUAGCGAAAGUUACGCUAAUACCGCAUAUGCCCUGAGGGGGAAAGGGGGGGAUCGCAAGACCUCUCGCUUUCGGAGUGGCCGAUAUCGGAUUAGCUAGUAGGUGAGGUAAAGGCUCACCUAGGCGACGAUCCGUAGCGGGUCUGAGAGGACGACCCGCCACACUGGAACUGAGACACGGUCCAGACUCCUACGGGAGGCAGCAGUGGGGAAUUUUGGACAAUGGGCGAAAGCCUGAUCCAGCCAUACCGCGUGAGUGAAGAAGGCCUUCGGGUUGUAAAGCUCUUUCAGCCGGAAAGAAAUCGUAUCUAUUAAUACUAGAUGCGGAUGACGGUACCGGAAGAAGAAGCACCGGCUAACUACGUGCCAGCAGCCGCGGUAAA